UACGGAGGGUGCAAGCGUUAUCCGGAUUCACUGGGUUUAAAGGGUGCGUAGGUGGGCUGGUAAGUCAGUGGUGAAAUCCCCGAGCUUAACUUGGGAACUGCCAUUGAUACUAUCAGUCUUGAAUCCCGUGGAGAUGAGCGGAAUAUGUCAUGUAGCGGUGAAAUGCUUAGAUAUGACAUAGAACACCAAUUGCGAAGGCAGCUCGGUACACGAAGAUUGACUCUGAGGCACGAAAGCGUGGGGAUCAAACAGG
rnacentral:rRNA from 1 species